rnacentral:rRNA from 1 species
UACGUAGGGUGCGAGCGUUAAUCGGAAUUACUGGGCGUAAAGCGUGCGCAGGCGGUUUUGUAAGCCAGGUGUGAAAUCCCCGGGCUCAACCUGGGAAUGGCAUUUGGGACUGCAAGGCUGGAGUGUGGCAGAGGAGACUGGAAUUCCUGGUGUAGCAGUGAAAUGCGUAGAUAUCAGGAGGAACACCGAUGGCGAAGGCAGGUCUCUGGGCUGACACUGACGCUCAUGCACGAAAGCGUGGGGAGCAAACAGG